UCUCCGUUGGUGAACCAGCGGAGGGAUCAUUACCGAGUUUACAGCUCCCAAACCCCUGUGAACAUACCUGUUUUGUUGCUUCGGCGGUGCCCUCGCUCUCGCGGCGAGGCCCGCCAGAGGACCCAAACAAACUCUUUGACUUUGAUCUAGGAUUAUACUUCUGAGUGAUACAAAAAAUAAAAUCAAAACUUUCAACAACGGAUCUCUUGGUUCUG
rnacentral:misc_RNA from 1 species